rnacentral:rRNA from 1 species
CUCCUACGGGGGGCAGCAGUGAGGAAUAUUGGUCAAUGGGCGGAAGCCUGAACCAGCCAAGUCGCGUGAGGGAAUAAGGCCCUACGGGUCGUAAACCUCUUUUGCCGGGGAGCAAGGGCGGGGACGUGUCCCGGCCCGGAGAGUACCCGGAGAAAAAGCAUCGGCUAACUCCGUGCCAGCAGCCGCGGUAAUACGGAGGAUGCGAGCGUUAUCCGGAAUGAUUGGGCGUAAAGGGUGCGUAGGCGGCCUGCUAAGUCUGGAGUGAAAGGUACCGGCUCAACCGGGACAGGCUCUGGAAACUGGCG